UAGAUUUGUGCCGACCAAAAGGAACAAGAGAAUGUACGAAAUCGAGAGAGAAGUUCAGUCGUUGAUUCGGCGGCUGAUCGAUGGGAGGAUGAAGGCGAUGAAAGGAGGGGAAGCUUGUGAGGAGGAUUUACUGGGGAUCUUGUUGGAGUCGAAUUUGCGAGAGAUGGAAGAAGGAGGCGACAGGAGUUUCGGAAUGAGUAAUGAUGAAGUAGUUCAAGAGUGCAAACUCUUCUAUUUUGCAGGCCAGGAGACCACCUCAGUGCUGCUUGUUUGGACAAUGUUGUUGCUGAGUAGGUAUCCACAGUGGCAGACCAAAGCCAGGGAAGAAGUCUUGCAAGUCUUUGCUAACCGUAAACCAGAUUUUGAUGGUCUCAAUCACCUCAAGAUUGUAAGUAUAAGCUCACUUCAACUAUUUAGGGGAUAUUUGGCUGAAUUUACAAACUACCUAACACAGCGUAUAAGCUCUUGAAAAAUGUUUGGCUAAGAGGGUGUUUGCUUGAGCUUAUAUGCUCUUUAAAAGAAAAAUUAUAAGUUGUUAAACAACUUAAAAGCUACAAUUCAUUUUUAUAUGGUCUUAUAUGAAACAAUCAUUUUGAUAAUGUUCGGUUAUGGUUUAUCAUGCUUUCAAAUAUAUAUUUGAAAGCUCUCUUCAAUUUUCUCUUUUUCACAAAUAUUUUCUAUUUUUAACACAAACUUCUCUAAUAAGCUCAAAUCAUCCAAAGAUUGACUUAUAGAAAACUAUAUCUUAUAAGAUCUUUAAAAUAAGCUUAGACUAAACAACUUAUAAGCUCUCAAAAAAAUAAUUUCUUCAACCUCAAUUUUUUUUUCAUAAUCUUAUAGACAAUCCAUUUACAAUUUUUUCUUCUUUAAAUAGAUUUUUUUUUCUCUAUAGCUUAUUAUAAGCUCAAUAUUCAAAUAUUUUGAGAGUUUAUAACCUCUUGAAAUUUACUUCUUAUAAACUACUCCCUUUGUCCCGUGAAGCUUGAGCAAUUUCUUAAAUAAAAAAUCUUUUACCAUAUAAAAAAAUGCUCAAGUUUCGCGGAAUAAUCCGAAAAUGAAUACUGCUCAAACUUCGGGGGACAAAGGAAGUUUUAAAACUUCUAAAAUUAGCUUAGGUAAACACUUGCACUAGCUAGUUUAUAAUGUGAUUCGUGCUAAAUGACAGGUUACAAUGAUUCUAUACGAGGUGUUGAGGCUUUAUCCACCGGUAGUUUCUUUUGGUCGGAGAGUCGGCGAAGAAACCAAGUUAGGGAAAGUGAGAUUGCCGGCGGGAGUUCAGGUUACACUGCCGACGAUCAUACUCCAUCACGACCGGGAAAUCUGGGGCGACGAUGCGAUGGAGUUCAAUCCGCAGAGAUUCAGCGAAGGGGUGUCCAAGGCGCAGAAGAAGCAGGGAAUAUUCUUUCCGUUUGGGUGGGGCCCGCGCAUCUGCGUCGGGCAAAUGUUUGCGAUGGUGGAGGCGAAGAUGGCGGUGACUAUGAUUCUGCAACGCUUCUCGUUUGAGCUCUCGCCUUCGUAUACGCACGCUCCUUGCACUGUCAUUACUGCUCAGCCUCAGCAUGGAGCUCACUUUCUUCUGCACAAGCUCUAGACUUUCACAUUAAUUGGAUGGAAUAAGAUAAUUCACUUUCUUCUGCACAAGCUUUAGAUUUUCAGAUUAGUCAGUGGAUGGAAUAAGAUAGCUAAAAAUGAAGAAUGAAGAUAAUAAAAUUAUGAAUAAAUAGGGUACGUGCCUCUAAUAUGUUUUAUUUUAUACUCCCUAUUUAAUAGAUAAAGUAAGAAGGCCGUGGUUGGUCUUAUAUGCCAUCCACAACCACUCUUAAAGGGCAUUUACAUUGGAGGAUUAGCCUUAACAAAUAAAAAUAGUAAAAUUAAUCUUUUGUUUAUUCUGAUAGAUUGAAACUUUGGGAUAUAUCCCAAGAUUGUCCUUGAUUAUUUAUAUUAUUUAAGCCAUUGAAAGGUGAGAUUGGAGAAAUCCUACUCUUAAGAAUAAAAAUACCCAAUCGUGCAUUUUAUCAAUCAUGGAAAGUAAACACCCCUCAUUGUUUAAUCGCUUUAAUUUCUGUUGUAUGUAAACGUUUCUGUUUGAUUCUCUUGGUAGUAAUGCACAUAGUAAAUAAUCAUUCCAAAAAGUAUAAAAUAUAUUUAAUUUUUUGGAAGGAUUGCUAUGAAGAGAAUCAAACACGUUUUAUAUUUAGACUAUUUGGAAGGAUUAUUUUGUUCAUUACUACCAAGAGAAUCAAACAGAAACGUUUUUCUAUCGAUCGAUCAAAUACAACUGCAAUAAAUAAUCUGAUCACAUCAAAUUAUAUAUACAAAAAAAAUCAAUACAUAAUAUUAAUUAACCACAUGCAAAGUUUGAUAAUUUGAUAUUCUGAAAAUGAAUACAUAAUAUAAUAAAUACAAACCACAUCUAGGCAACUUUUUAAUUUCGUCCCCCCUUUAAAAAGAGAUUAUUAGAGUGGCCAUUAUAGCAUGAUCAAAAAUGGAGAUCCUGUAUCAAAUACUUACUGCUGGUUUUUCAUUAGUGGCGUUGAUAUACAUAUUGAAAUUACUAAAUUGGGUAUAUUUCAGACCAAAAUGGCUGGAAAAAGCCUUGAGAGAGCAGGGCUUAAAGGGUAAUUCGUAUAAGCUGGUGUAUGGUGACAUGAAGGAGAUUGUGAAGACGAUGGAUGAAGCCUACUCCAAGCCCAUCAAUCUUGACGAUGAUAUCAAGCCAAGAGUUGUCUCUUUUUUCAUCAAAACCAUUCAGAAACAUGGUAUGUGUAUCUCUUCUUUUUUUAAUAAAUAAAACCUAAUAUUUUUCAUUUUCUUAAGAUUUAAAUUUGGAAUAAAUUUUUGCAGGAAAUGAGUGCUUUUUCUGGCUAGGCUCAAAUCCUUCAGUUGUAGUGACGGAGGCUGAGCUAGUGAAGGAGGUUCUAACCAAGACUGAUAUCUACCUGAAGCAGCAGACCCCCAACCCACUGGCUAAGCUGCUCGCGCUCGGCGUCUUUACCUACGACAAACAAAAAUGGUCCAAACACAGGAAAAUCAUCAAUCCCGCUUUCCACCUCCACAAAGUGAAGGUCAUGAUCUAUUCCAAAUUCGUGGUUUAGGGUUUUGUCAAAUUUAGUAGAAAUUUUAAUAUAUUUCAAGUGAACUGCACAGCUCAUGGUUCCGGCCUUCUACUUGAGCUGCGAAGAAGUGUUGAACCGAUGGGAAAAGAGGGUUUCGGGUGAAGGAUGCAGCGAGGUGGAUGUGUGGCCUUAUUUACAGAACUUAACAAGCAAUGCGAUAUCAAGAACUGCGUUCGGUAGCAGCUAUGAGCAGGGGAGACGAAUAUUCGACCUUCAGAGAGAGCAAGCUGAAUACGUCGUGGCGGCUCAACGCUCUAUAUACAUCCCGGGGUGGAGGUAUAGUAAGAUCAUACUCUCUUCGUCCCAAUUUAAUAGGUACAGGGCUCGAGCACGGAUGUUAAGAAAUAAAAAGUUUAUAAUAAAAUAAGAGAGAGAAAAUAACUUUUUUUGAGAAUAUAUUUAUCCAAAAAUUAGAAAAAAAAAUGGAGAUAUUAUUUUUUAAAUAAAAAUAGAGAUAAUUUUGUGUGAGACAUAUAUAUAUAGUGUAAAUAAUGAGUUAUGUGGCGAUUUUGUUAUGUGUUGACUUUUCACUUUAUAUUGAAAUGGGACAUUCAAAUAAGAAAACAUGACCUAUUAAUUAAUUAAUUUAUUUAUAACACAAGAAAAUUAUAGUCAUGUAGAUAAAAAUAUGAAAAUAGCCUGUAGUCAUUUUGGACUAUUACGAUCUUACACACUUACACAAAUUUUGUUAUUCAUAUAACCAAAAUUCAUAUAAAUCGUGUAAGUACUGCGUACGUAAAUGCAUAAGCUUUUGGCUAGAAUAAAGUGUUGUCUCUAAUUAAUAUAUACACGAGGCUAGGGUUUGGUUAUAACAAAAAUCAUAUAUUAAUGCUUUUCCUUAUAAUCAACUGUUAAUCAUAUACUUUAAUUUGAGUGUGUUUAUUUUGAUGGAAAAUGAGAGAAAAAAUAUAUUUUCACACUCAUUUUUUACUAUUUCCACAUGUUUACUAUGAUAGAAAAUUUUCUCCGGGCUACAGGGUGUAAUAUUUUCUCAGGCAACUCAUUUUAUCUCCACUGUUGGAUAAUAUUAUCCUAUGAUAGAGCCAUGAAAAUAUUUUCCAACAUUUUCUCAUCUUUUCAUCUCUAGUAAACAUAAGAUAAAAAAUGAGAAAAAGAUAAUAUUUUCUCAUAUUUUUUUAUCCACCAUUUUCCAAUGAAAAUUUUACCAUGACGGAAUUUAGCACUCCGUUUAUAUUGUGAACGCACGCGUAGAUUCAUGCCGACAAAAAGGAACAAGAGAAUGUACGAAAUCGAGAGGGAAAUUCAGUCGUUGAUUCGGCGGCUGAUCGAGGGGAGGAUGAAGGCGAUGAAAGGAGGGGAAGCUUGUGAGGAGGACUUACUGGAGAUCUUGUUGGAGUCCAAUUUGCGAGAGAUGGAAGAAGGAGGCGACAAGAGUUUCGGAAUGAGUAAUGAUGAAGUA
rnacentral:lncRNA from 1 species